rnacentral:lncRNA from 8 species
UCGGUGCAUAUGGUCAAAGUAUAUGUAACAUAUUGCAGAUUGUUUAGAAAUGCACAAACAUCAGAGUUCCCCUUUGAAAUCCCAUCUCCCUUUAUUCUCCUAGAAACAAGCAAAAUACUUUCAUCUGGUCAAGGCUCGAGCAUGCUGUUUUUAGGGGGAGGGGAGUGUGUGUGUGUGAGGAAAGGGUUAUUCCCAUUUUGUUUUCUCUCCCAGUGUCUUUCAAAGCCCAGCUCUUUAUAGAUGGUGAUGUCAGCACUAUCUUUCACAGCCCUGGGCCCCCUUAACAGAUAAUAAUGUAUGCAAUUUCAAACAUUCCUCUCUGGCGAAUGAGCUGCUGGUAGCUGCAGGCGUGUGCCUCCCUCCCGCCUUCCACUCCUUUCUGCAGAAGCACAGCCUCAAGCCGCAGCGCGCCUCACGCUGCCUUUCCUGCUGCAGAGAGCACAGAGACAGUCAAAGAGACGGCUUCCGCCAAGACCAGCAAAACCACAAGCAGCAGCAGAAAUCACCCCCUCCUCUUCCUCCCUGCGUCUCCAUGUCUCAGGAAGGGGUGGCCAUGGUCCCCCCUCCAGCCAGGCCAACCUCCACCCUGCUCCAGCCGUGCCACUCCAUUUCUGAGGAUGCUCAGAGGGUCCUCCGGAAGGUCUAAUGACAUGAGAAUGUUUAACCCUCUCCUGCAACAGGUAACACACACAUACACUGUCUGGAGCCAUGCUCUGACGUACCUCUCACUCACGCAGACUGAUGUGUUGGCACAGGAUCAAAAAUAUGUUAUGGCCAUAUCUCCACUUUAUCAACAUAUGUCAUGAUAAUAAGGAUUACUACUUGAAUUAAUGGUUUAAAUGUUUGAGGUAACUCCCUUCCAGCACCAGAAUGUAACACCGCCAUGUGAAGAUAGCAAUUCAAAAAGAAUAACAAUUCUACAGCACUACAGCAUGUUCAUUUCAGCAAAUCUAUUCUUGGAGAAACUUGCUCAAUUUAAUAAAUACCCUUGCAACAUUUUGGGUUGUUGUUGUGAAGUGGAAAAUGUGCAGAGGGCAAAUUGGGAGAAUUCAAGGCAGUGACUGCCUGCGCUGAGCUCUAUUGUGGAGAGCUGAGAGCUGCGUCUCUCCUGUUGAUUGACAGCUGGCCUCGGAGCACACUGGAGGCAGCAGAGGGCUAAGCCAAAUGGAACAAUCACUGUGACAGGCAGCUGUCAGUGGGGAGGAGACGACGAGUGCGUCCCAAAUGACACCCCAUCGCCUAUAUAGUGCAUGGGUCCUGAUCAAAAAUACCGCACUCUUUAAGGAAUAGGGUGCCAUUUGGGACGCAGACGACUGCUGCCCUGCCAGCUCUCAGCCUCUCUCCGCACAACC